AACGCGAAGAACCUUACCAACCUUUGACAUGUCCAGUAUGGAUCUAGGAGACUAGGUCCUUCAGUUCGGCUGGCUGGAACACAGGUGCUGCAUGGCUGUCGUCAGCUCGUGUCGUGAGAUGUUGGGUUAAGUCCCGCAACGAGCGCAACCCUCAUCUUUAGUUGCCACCAGGUAAGGCUGGGCACUCUAAAGAAACCGCCGGUGAUAAGCCGGAGGAAGGCGGGGAUGACGUCAAGUCCUCAUGGCCCUUACAGGUUGGGCUACACACGUACUACAAUGGUGGUGACAGUGGGUUGCGAAGUCGCGAGACGGAGCCAAUACCCCAAAAGCCCAUCUCAGUUCAGAUUGCACUCUGCAACUCGAGUGCAUGAAGUUGGAAUCGCUAGUAAUCGCAGAUCAGCACGCUGCGGUGAAUACGUUCCCGGGCCUUGUACACACCGGAGUA
rnacentral:rRNA from 1 species